rnacentral:rRNA from 1 species
UACGUAGGGUGCGAGCGUUGUCCGGAAUUACUGGGCGUAAAGAGCUCGUAGGUGGUUUGUCGCGUUGUUCGUGAAAACUCACAGCUCAACUGUGGGCGUGCGGGCGAUACGGGCAGACUGGAGUACUGCAGGGGAGACUGGAAUUCCUGGUGUAGCGGUGGAAUGCGCAGAUAUCAGGAGGAACACCAACGGCGAAGGCAGCUUGCUGGGACGGUACUGACGCUAAGGCGCGAAAGCCAGGGGAGCAAACGGG